UCUCCGUAGGUGAACCUGCGGAGGGAUCAUUACUGAGUGAGGGCCUCCCCGGCCCGACCUCCAACCCUUUGUGAACACAACUUGUUGCUUCGGGGGCGACCCUGCCGUUUCGACGGCGAGCGCCCCCGGAGGCCUUCAAACACUGCAUCUUUGCGUCGGAGUUUAAGUAAAUUUAAACAAAACUUUCAACAACGGAUCUCUUGGCUCACACAUCGAUGAAGAACGCAGC
rnacentral:misc_RNA from 1 species